rnacentral:guide_RNA from 1 species
AUAACAAUACAAAUGAGCUAGAUAAUGGAUGAUAGUUUGAUAU